AACGCACAUUGCGCCCCUUGGUAUUCCAUGGGGCAUGCCUGUUCGAGCGUCAUUUGUACACUCAAGCUUGCUUGGUGUUGGGUGCUUGUCCUGCAGAGGACUCGCCUUAAAUCGAUUGGCCGCCGGCAACCUGGUGCAGAGCGCAGUACACUUGCAGUCUGUAGCGGGGAGCGGGUGCCCACAAGACACUUCAACGCUUGACCUCGGAUCAGGUAGGGAUACCCGCUGAACUUAA
rnacentral:misc_RNA from 1 species